rnacentral:rRNA from 1 species
CCCUUAGAGUUUGAUCCUGGCUCAGAGUGAACGCUGGCGGCAGGCCUAACACAUGCAGGUCGAACGGCAGCACAGCCCCGCAAGGGGUGGGUGGCGAGUGGCGGACGGGUGAGGAAUACAUGGGAAUCUACCCUGUCGUGGGGGAUAACGUAGGGAAACUUACGCUAAUACCGCAUACGACCGAGAGGUGAAAGCGGCGGACCGCAAGGCGUCGCGCGAUUGGAUGAGCCCAUGUCGGAUUAGCUAGUUGGCGGGGUAAAGGCCCACCAAGGCGACGAUCCGUAGCUGGUCUGAGAGGAUGAUCAGCCACACUGGAACUGAGACACGGUCCAGACUCCUACGGGAGGCAGCAGUGGGGAAUAUUGGACAAUGGGCGCAAGCCUGAUCCAGCCAUGCCGCGUGGGUGAAGAAGGCCUUCGGGUUGUAAAGCCCUUUUGUCCGGAAAGAAAAGCUUCGGGCUAAUACCCCGGGGUUCUGACGGUACCGGAAGAAUAAGCACCGGCUAACUUCGUGCCAGCAGCCGCGGUAAUACGAAGGGUGCAAGCGUUACUCGGAAUUACUGGGCGUAAAGCGUGCGUAGGUGGUUUGUUAAGUCUGAUGUGAAAGCCCUGGGCUCAACCUGGGAAUUGCAUUGGAUACUG